rnacentral:rRNA from 1 species
GAGAGGUCACACCCGUUCCCAUACCGAACACGGAAGUUAAGCUCUCUAGCGCCGAUGGUAGUUGGGACCUUGUCCCUGUGAGAGUAGGACGUCGCCAAGC